UACGUAGGGUGCGAGCGUUGUCCGGAAUUAUUGGGCGUAAAGAGCUUGUAGGCGGUCUGUCGCGUCUGCUGUGAAAGUCCAGGGCUCAACCCUGGAAGGCCGGUGGAAACUGUCGGGCUAGAGUCCGGAAGAGGCGAGUGGAAUUCCCGGUGUAGCGGUGAAAUGCGCAGAUAUCGGGAGGAACACCAAUGGCGAAGGCAGCUCGCUGGGACGGUACUGACGCUGAGACGCGAAAGCG
rnacentral:rRNA from 1 species